GGGACACGUGGUAUCCUGUCUGAAUAUGGGGGGACCAUCCUCCAAGGCUAAAUACUCCUGACUGACCGAUAGUGAACCAGUACCGUGAGGGAAAGGCGAAAAGAACCCCGGCGAGGGGAGUGAAAAAGAACCUGAAACCGUGUACGUACAAGCAGUGGGAGCACGCUUAGGCGUGUGACUGCGUACCUUUUGUAUAAUGGGUCAGCGACUUAUAUUCUGUAGCAAGGUUAACCGAAUAGGGGAGCCGAAGGGAAACCGAGUCUUAACUGGGCGUUAAGUUGCAGGGUAUAGACCCGAAACCCGGUGAUCUAGCCAUGGGCAGGUUGAAGGUUGGGUAACACUAACUGGAGGACCGAACCGACUAAUGUUGAAAAAUUAGCGGAUGACUUGUGGCUGGGGGUGAAAGGCCAAUCAAACCGGGAGAUAGCUGGUUCUCCCCGAAAGCUAUUUAGGUAGCGCCUCGUGAAUUCAUCUCCGGGGGUAGAGCACUGUUUCGGCAAGGGGGUCAUCCCGACUUACCAACCCGAUGCAAACUGCGAAUACCGGAGAAUGUUAUCACGGGAGACACACGGCGGGUGCUAACGUCCGUCGUGAAGAGGGAAACAACCCAGACCGCCAGCUAAGGUCCCAAAGUCAUGGUUAAGUGGGAAACGAUGUGGGAAGGCCCAGACAGCCAGGAUGUUGGCUUAGAAGCAGCCAUCAUUUAAAGAAAGCGUAAUAGCUCACUGGUCGAGUCGGCCUGCGCGGAAGAUGUAACGGGGCUAAACCAUGCACCGAAGCUGCGGCAGCGACACUAUGUGUUGUUGGGUAGGGGAGCGUUCUGUAAGCCUGUGAAGGUGUGCUGUGAGGCAUGCUGGAGGUAUCAGAAGUGCGAAUGCUGACAUAAGUAACGAUAAAGCGGGUGAAAAGCCCGCUCGCCGGAAGACCAAGGGUUCCUGUCCAACGUUAAUCGGGGCAGGGUGAGUCGACCCCUAAGGCGAGGCCGAAAGGCGUAGUCGAUGGGAAACAGGUUAAUAUUCCUGUACUUGGUGUUACUGCGAAGGGGGGACGGAGAAGGCUAUGUUGGCCGGGCGACGGUUGUCCCGGUUUAAGCGUGUAGGCUGGUUUUCCAGGCAAAUCCGGAAAAUCAAGGCUGAGGCGUGAUGACGAGGCACUACGGUGCUGAAGCAACAAAUGCCCUGCUUCCAGGAAAAGCCUCUAAGCAUCAGGUAACAUCAAAUCGUACCCCAAACCGACACAGGUGGUCAGGUAGAGAAUACCAAGGCGCUUGAGAGAACUCGGGUGAAGGAACUAGGCAAAAUGGUGCCGUAACUUCGGGAGAAGGCACGCUGAUAUGUAGGUGAAGUCCCUCGCGGAUGGAGCUGAAAUCAGUCGAAGAUACCAGCUGGCUGCAACUGUUUAUUAAAAACACAGCACUGUGCAAACACGAAAGUGGACGUAUACGGUGUGACGCCUGCCCGGUGCCGGAAGGUUAAUUGAUGGGG
rnacentral:rRNA from 1 species